AUUGUGACAUAGAGGAAAGUCCUGCCUCUCCAUAACCCUGGCUAACGGCUCCGAUGGGGAGCUCCCGAAGGGAGACCUCCCUACUCCCCCAGCCCCGAGUGCAGCCCCAUCAAAGCGGCAGGGCUCUCGGCAUGGAGAUGGGGCCGCUAAUCCAGUUGCUCUGACCCAUUUUGGGCGAUAGGGUCUGGGGAGGCCCAGGAACGGGGCACGGGGAAGCCCGGAGGUCCCUCCAGCAGGUCGGGCGAGGACGCUAAAGGGCACCUGUUGCGGCGCGCGGUGCGGUGACUGCGGCGCACCUGAGCUAGGCCGGGCCCAGGGCGGCGGCGGGCGCACAGCUGAGCCGAGGUUCCAGGCCAGGCCCGCGCCUUGGGCUUCCGCCGGGUCAGCUGACCGCCCAGUACGGAACUAAAAGGCCGGCGCGAACUGCCUGCCUGCCUGCCGCUGCCGCCUCCGCGCUCCUGCUCCGCGCUCCGCCCUCGGUACCGCGAGUCCGCCCCGUCGCCAUGGCUGGGCUUGUGGUCAGUGGAACUCAAGUGUCCUACAUAGGCCAGGACUGCAGAGAGAUUCCAGAGCACCUCGGCAGGGACUAUGGACACUUUGCAAAGAGGCUCGACCUGAGCUUUAACCUUCUGAGGUCACUGGAAGGACUGAGCGCGUUCGGGAGCCUGGAGGAACUCAUCUUGGACAACAAUCUGCUGGGGAACGACCUCGUGUUGCCAGGGUUACCCAGUCUCCAUACCUUAACCCUCAACAAGAACCAGAUCACUGACUUGGAGUGUCUGCUUGAUCACCUGGCAGAAGUGACACCAGCUCUGGAGUACCUCAGCCUUCUGGGGAAUGUGGCAUGUCCCAAUGAGCUGGUCAACUUGGAGAAGGAUGAGGAGGACUACAAGAGAUACAGAUACUUUGUUCUGCACAAGCUGCCCAAUUUGAAGUUUCUGGAUGCUCGGAAAGUAACUAAACAAGAACGAGAGGAAGCUUUGGUCAGAGGGGCGUUCAUGAAGGUGGUGAAGCCCAAGGUGUGUAUAUACGCGCUCCAUCUCUGUGUAUCUAUACAUAUGUAUGUUCUGGGAGGUUUGUGUACAUUCGGAGUCAGCUCCUAAGUGGAGAGCAAUUUCCUCCCAGUGAAAUGCCGACGCUUUGCUGCGCACACUUGGUGAAGACCUAUUUUUCAUCACAGAAUCGGAAUCUCAAGUUGGCUUCUCUCCUUUCCGAGGCUGUGGAGGCCUGUUAUGCUUAUUCGGCAGAAUGCUCUGAUGGAUGAUCCAGAGGCCCGUGAUUUGGGGAGCUGUUUUCAUUUUAUUCCUGACAUAAAGUAUUUGGGAGAAUGGAAAAUGCCUCUCCAAUCACAGCCCUUGCCUGGGAGGUAGAGCCGGGGCAGUCUGGGUGUUCCUCACUGACGCAAAUGCAAAAUCAUCUAGCAACUUGUACCCCCCCCCCCCCCCCCGGCAUGUCACAAAGGCUUUAUUUGGUACCUGGCAGCCCCCGGUGCUCGAAGUGUGAGUUGGCUCUCGCUGCUGCUCAUGAUGACACAUUUCUCCUUCACUGCUGCCUUCUAGCUUUUGUUUAAAAGCUGCUUUCCAUCCGGGCUCUGAUUGUUCUGUAGAAAGGUACUGUCAUUCAUUAGGAAGUGAUAGCUAAUGUUACAAUGGACUCGUCUGGAUGCCGUGUGUGUGUAUUUGGUUAAUGGACCUACAACAGUUAGGCUUUGCUCAUUUCUAGAAAUUUUAAAGAAAAAAAAUGUAUUUGUCAAGUAUGAGCCAUCAGAUCAAGCCACUGUCAGUGCAGAGAGCCACAAGCUAGAUGCAUAGGUGGUGUAGCCCCCAAAGAAAGGCUUCUGUAAUGACCAGACUGUGACCUCCACCUCCUCGCUCCUGGAAAUGGAGAUCAAAGUGGUGCAGAGGCCUGUCCAGGAGGGUGUGUGUGGCCGGCCUGCCAGCCCUGCACAUCAGAGAGAUGGCGCGAGCAUCCGACAGUCAGAAUUGCUUAAUUAUGUCCUGGCUUUGUAAUUAUUCAUCCCUGUUCUGGCAAAGAGCACACUUGUCAUUUCUUUGACAUAAUUAUUUAAAGCUGAGCCCUCUUGUUUACAGACACAUAUAGGUAGUUGGCUACCAACUGUUUAAUCUUUGGAAUCUUAUAGAAGUGAUGGGGGGGUGGAGCAGCCAUCAGGCAGCUGGACUGAGAACUACAGCCUGUAUUAGGAAGUGUUCAGACAUGUGUGUUUUUGCUUGUAAUCAUGGCCAUUCUCUUAUCGGUAAGAUAGGGUCAUAGGUUUGUUUGUGAGUGUUGAUGUGUCCUUAAAAAUACGUCUUCCGUGUCUUUACGUGGGCAUGCCUAGGUUUCUGGUAAUGUGUAUCUUGUGUAUUUGUGUCAUUUUGCAUAGUUAUGAAUAUUUGUAUAUGUGUGUGUCUCUGAGUACUUGGGGAGGCUAUAGUGUAUGGUAUGUAUGUACGUGUAUGUGUGAGUGAGAGACGGAGAAAGGGAGGGAGGAAGAAGGGAAAGUGAUGUGUUAAAGAAUAAAUUUACACCUUCCAGAAAUCUUUUUUAUUCUUGUCCUUAAACUCAAAGUUAAAAGCUAUCUGGGUAUGAGGACCAUGUGCUUCCCUGAUUAUACUAUACCAUUGUUCUCUUGAGAGUUGGGCCCAAACUUUCCUGAGUACCUUCAGUUUCUUCCCUCUGUGUCUAUGUUUUGGUUUUAAAAAGACAGCAACCUAGGAUAAAGACAGGAAGUGGAAGCAUCUGGAACCCCACUCUUUGGUCGGAACAAAACAGCUGCUCACCCUGAGGGUGUCAGCUCCAUGAGGGCAAGACCUUGGUUUUGUUUUUUCCUGUAUCUCUAGGGCCUGGUCUCACACAAAGGUUCAGCCAACACUUGUUAAAACAGUGCCCUGUGAACGGACCAUAUUGGAAGGUCCAUCAUGAAAGAGAGUCCAUUUUUCAAUUGCCUCGAUAUGGUGCUCUGCAAAAGCAGGAAAGGGACUUUUACCUUAAGGAAAUGGAGUAACUUGGAUCUGUGUUUUGGCAGAAAAGAGAGAUUCUGGGCUGCCUCUUUGUUUUUUCCAAAGGCCUUACCCUGGGAUUACUUAUGAUGGCACAGCCCACAGCUGCCAUGCUCCACAGCCACCAUGGCUUCUCCAGGGGCAGCAUCCAUUGCUGGGGGUGGGGGGGUGGGAAGAUGGGGGCAGGGGUACAAUCUGAGCUUGUGGCCCCUGUCACUGCCCACAUGUUUUCCAAGUCCUUUUCUUGGGACCCACCUGCUUAGGGCUUUGAGGAACUAGAAGGUAGCUUUUCUCAGAAAAUAUGUUGGGGCACUCCAGAAGUCUAUGUGUAGUUAAAAUGAGAUUUUCCCUGUCUUAGUUGCUAUUGUACCUUUUGUCUGUACAAUAAAGGAGUACUGCCUCCUGGUUUGUUUGGUUCUUUUUUUUUUUUUUACUGCCUAGCCUAGUUCUUUGCUAAACACUGUCUUGUUCUAAAGCACAGUGUGUAUGUCUUUCAUAUCUUUUCUUACCCUUAUGUAGCCAAUUGCAAAUGUGUAAAAGUUUAUCCAAAACUACCUCUAGGUUGGUUGCGAUUACUAACAUUUCCUCUAUCCUCAAUAUUUUUAAGAAUAUAUAUUUUACAUAAAACUAGGGCAUGCCUGUAAAUAAAUAUUGUAAACCGCGUGAACAUACAGUUAAAUACACAAUAAGCCAGUAUACCUUGAAAGCUCUCUACUGUGCCAAGCAUUCAGAAAAAAACUAAAAAUGUCAGUUAACUUUCUGGAUAUUCCUAACUACCUGAAUAUGUUAAUGUUUUAUGGUUCUUUUCUGUUUUCACACAGAUGUUUCUUGUCUAGAGACAUAUUUAGGUUCUAUUUUCAGUUACUUUAUCGUAAAUUUUGAAGGGAGGAAAUUUCUUUUUAAUUAAUUUCUUUUUUGGAAGAUGCUUUAGUGUUGUGCUGAGAAACAACUUCACCAGCCAAAAAAAUUGCAGUUUGUUUGUUUUUCAUUUUUCUUUCUGAUUUCACAGUUUUCCUCAUUCAUUUGAUGGAGGAAUCACUUAAAGAUUUUGUGUUUUUUUUUUUUUUUUUUCAUCGUUAGCACCAUGGCAUUCUAGAUCUCAAAUACAUGCUUUCAGAGUAUUGCUUUUUUGGAGACAAUUUUGGUAGCUUUUCUUGACCAUGGCUUUGGAUAGCAACUUUCUGAAGUCAGAGAUAGACUCUUGUAGGGAAGUUGUGUCUAUACUACCCUAGAAAAAUCCUAGAGGUAGAAAACUGAAGUCCACAGGAGAAGGAAAGUGAAAUAGAACUGUAGGUGAUGGUAGUGGCCUCUUGGAGCCACUUCUGGAGGUCCUGGGGACCUGGCCAGGUGCUGAGCACAUAGUAGGUGUCACUGUCCAUUAAGCCCAAUGCCUCGGUUGGAGUCACUGGCUUGUACAGCACCGCCAUGGCCCAGCUCCAUAUUCUUCCUCUUUGUGGCCUCCAACAUGCUGGCUUUUGUCCAAAGAUACUUGGAGAGACAUAUGUUAGAGGAUCAUGAAAAUAAGUGGCACUUUGGGGGGAUUGCGAUAAGUAUCCCUCGGAGACUGGAUAGAGUCUGCAACCUAUCUGCUGGGAAAGUGUGGUAGAUUUCAUUUUUGGUCUAAAAUUGUUCCUUUCCCUCUGUCCUUGCCAUGGCUCCCUCCUCUCAGGGAGGAGUAUACAACUCCAUCCCAUUGACAUUGGCCUUGGCUAUGUUGACCCUCGAGUCAAGGGGAUGUGCGUGCAAGUGAUAGCACGCCAGCUCUAGGCCCAGGCCUCGUGAGGUACCACCAUGUGUUGCCACUCACCCUCUUGCACACAUGCUAUUUGCUAUGGAAACAAUGUGAGAUAGGCAUUGAGCAGAACUGAACUGGCCUGAAGCCUGAAGCAGAAAUAUUCCAGCCAACCACAGAGCUCUGUACAAGAAAGACAUCCUUAUCACAAGCCACCAGGGCUUUGGAGAGUAGUGUGACUGCAGAAGCCUGAUACAUAGGCCAUCUGUGCUCACAUUCUGUCCUCCGGUUCUUCCUUGGCCACUUACACCAGGGCUCUUAAUGGAGACAUGACUUGGGGUUUAGUGAAGUGAAUGACAGUUUUUGGUAUCACAGCAGCAACACUGGUAGGUUUUCUGGUUGCUUAACUAGUUAGGAUCGCAAGGCCAGCCUCAGGUCGACUGGCUGCCUAGGGUUUAUUAUUCAUUGUAAUGAAACUUUCCUGAUAAUGUGAGUCAGAACAAUACCUAGUAUAUAUUAAGUGUACACUGUGUAUUAGCUAUUGUACUAGCAACUUAACAACACUGUCUCUAAAUUUCUCCUUCAACUUGAAUCUGCAGUUGAUGAUCGCAGAACUUACGUACAUCACUUAAAAUGACAGGGCAACGUGGAUUCAGGUUCUUCCUCAGGCCUGCUUACACCCCUGAGCUCACACCCACCCCCUUCCCCAAAGACUUAAUUUCAUCAAUUAGACAUGGAGAUACGAUGAGAGGCAGGAGUGAAAGAGUGGGGAGAUGAGGACAUGGAACAGAGCCAGGGCUAACUUCGUAAUUUUCACUUUGGACCUUGUGACCACUUCCUCCAGUGCAUCGUGGUGAUGUGCAUGGGCUCAGCAGAGAAUAGUGGGAGCCAGGUGGUAGAGGGCUCAGUUUGUUAGGCCACGUUUGCAACCUCAUUUGAGCAUGAGGAGGCACCUGGGCUGGGCCUGAAGUAGGAGGAAAGUGUGGGCAGGUCCGUGUUUGGAUCCCCGGGUGUCUGGAUGGGAGCGGUAGUGCUCUGGGCACAACGGGUGUUGGAGAUCUGUGAAGAGGCAGCUGCUGGACUGAGGCUGCCUAGCAUCCAGUGCACCCCGGCCACUGUUGGUGCUCAGGUGGCCACAGAGGUUAAAGAUCUGGGCUUGAGAGUCCUGUCCUAACUACAGGGUGAAGUCUGGGUGGUAUGGAGCAGCUCGGAGGCUGGCGGGAGGAGAAAGCCAGUGGGUGUCAGAGACCAGCCAGUAACUCCACUGGCAGUGGGUCUUUGGCAUUCUAAGAAGUCCUUUGACAGUUUCUUACCCAAGAGAUCCUGUCCCCUAUGCUAUCAGUUGCCUUAGUUUUGAGGAGUGAAUUUAAGCCUACUUAACUGAGCACUAAGAAAUCCUCAUUCGUGUGAUCCCUGCUAAUGACUGAGAUGGAGCCUUAAUAGCCGAUUAUGUCUGUAAUCUCUAUGUUUCUAGCUCGACAUUGCCUCGAUCCACAGUAGAGGAUGGUUUUUCGCAUUUUGCUCUUGCAAUUUAGUUUUGUUUUUGUUUUUUUUUUUCAAUUGAGUUUGGUGAGGAGACAUAAAUAAAGAUGUUUCCUUAAAAGUGUGUUCUCAGAGAAUGCAGUUGGGGUGCUGAUCUCAAGUGACCUAUGUUUAGAUCUCACAUCAGCCUGUGUCUGUGUGCAGCUCAGGGCUUGGCAGGGAGCUUCCCUCCUGGGCAUGUGUAUUGUAUUGCAUAUGUAUGGGUCGGCUGGGCCAGCAUCUUAUCCUUUAGAGGCUUUACUCCAUUUGACGCCUCCCCCGACACCCCCCCCCACACACACACCCUUUGCUUUGAGCUUUCUGAUUCCAGGUCAGUGAUGAGGAGGAGUGGGCUGGAAGUCCAGGGCCAACUUAUCUGGAAUGGAAGAAAAAGGCCAGGAAAAAGCAUUCUGACAGUCUCAGUGCAGCCAGCCGAGGGCCUUGCUCUCCACCCUUCUGACCUCUAGGGCUUCACGAAUCUCUGCCUUGCUGAGAAAGUCCCUUCUGGGCCCAUCGCAACAUUAGAUGGUGGGGACUAAACCCUCGGGCACGUAGCCCUAGAAGGCAGGGAGGCCUGCCAGAUGGAUGGCUCACCAGGGAAGAGUCAUAAACAUUGCUCUGAAGCUAACUUGGAUUACAUGUUAAUAUUACCUGCAAGACCGUGGCCAACAGGGGAGGAGAAAACUAAGAUGGCAGCAUGGUCCCAAUUUCUCCUCGUGGGUUCUGGUUAUUUCUGAAUUGCAUGCAACUAAUGGCAGAUAUCCUCGUCUGCUAGAGUUGCCGUAACAAAAUACCACAGACUGCAUGGUUUCAACAAGAGAAAUUCCUUUUCUCAUAGUCCUGGAGGCUCUAAUUUAAAGCUGAAGGAGUUGGUGGGACUGGUUUCUUGAGCCCCUUCCCUUGGCUUGGAGGGGGCUGCCUUCUUGCUGUGUCUUCACAUGGCUCUCUUCUUGGGCAUGUACAUCCUUAUUCUUCGUGUGUCCUCUCAUAAAGACACGUCAUACUGGAUAGGAGCUCACACAAUGGCCUCAUUUUAUCUCAGUUACCACUUUAAGGGCCCAGUCUCCAAACAUAGUCACGUUCUGAUCUACUGGAGGUUAGACUUCAACAUAGACCUUUGGGGAGGAUGCAAUUCAGUCCCUAACACCAGACGAGAAGAGUGAACUUUAAGAAGAGAAUAGGAAAGGAAACUCAUGAAAGUUUAGUGAUGAAAGGCAUGUCUCUGACAUUUAACAUUUACCUGUUCUUUCCAUUGUCCCUCUAAGACUUAGAAGCAAAGUCAGCAAAUAGAACAAAGGGGUAGGAUAACCGUAGGUUAUCCAACUUGGAUGGAGGUAAAAGUCUUCACAGAGUUGAACUGAAAUAGAAAUUUCAUCUGUUUUCCUGGGUGUGGCUGAUAUAUACACUUUAGGUUCUCAGCCAGGUGAGUGCUGAGUGGUUUGCACAGGUAAUAACCAGUAUUAGUGGAGAGCUCCAGGAAUGGCACCUACCCCACACAGUAGACUCAGUGAGAAACCUGAUGCUCAGAGGAGAGCUUCUUCUCAUGUGAAAAAAAUUACCUCUGGGGGUGCCUUUUGCCCCAAAUGUUUCCUUGUGGAGUAAAAAGAAGGGGUUUCUCAUCAUGAGGGAGAAGUCUUGACAUGUGUCCACUGUUCCCUGUCUGUUUCUCCAGAACUCAUUUCUCACUGUCAAGACCUCCAGGAGCAUCCAGUUCCCAGGUAGCUGUUGGAUCCUGCUUGUGAACUGGUUCCAAGUCUCUCAGACAUGUGUUUUUGUCUCUUCGUUGUUUGUCUACCUGUGGCCACUAUGGCUGGCUUCCAGCCCAUGCCCACACUCUGUAGAUCCAUCAUCACUGUCCCUCUGACCAGGCACUGUGAUAUUUCACAAGCACGGUGGGGCAGGUCUGCCCUUGGGGUCCUUGAAGGCUGGUGGUACAAUUAGCUCUUUUAUUUGCUUUUUUACUCCUUACAGCAGAAUGUCUUAGAUGAACAGACAGGGCAACAUCAAUAAUGCACAGAUGCUCUGUAAUUGGGGCUUCCUUUGAUGUUAAUUUAGCGAAGUUCAGUGCUAUUGUCAGUGAUAGCAAUUACGCACAGCCUUUUCACCAAGGACAUUUUAGGAUAAUUUUAUUUUUCAUGUGCAUUUUAAAAUAUCGCAAUAAAUUUUCAACUACAUUACCUGAAUUAUAACUCAUUAUUUCUUUUUACAGAAAACUCAUGCUCUCUGUCUAGGCUCCAGAGCUGUAUCUUUUCUUUUUUGAAGUGGGGAAUUUUGAAGUGGGGCUUCUACCUCAUGGGCUUUUAACUCACGAGCGAAACUUAGACACGAGUCCCUCGUUUUUUUGCUGACUUUCUGGAUUGUCGCAGGGGCUAUCUGGCACCGUGACCUCCCCCAUGUUUUAUUUGGCCCAUUUUUAUUCCUUUCUCUCCCCCCCCCAACCCAACUUUCAUUUUUGUUCUUGACAUAAUUCAAGAAGUUACCUCUGGCUGUUCUUUUGGGAAAGUUUAAAAUCUGAAUUUAUUGUGGCUUUUGUAUUCCACGGCAAACCUAUGACUCUUAAUUUGCUCACGGGCUGUCGUCAGAUUUGCUCUUCCCCUUGGAGGCCAGUCUUAUUCUGUUUCAUGAUGAUGGUUACUACCUUCUGCUGUCUGUUUCUCCAUUGUUAAUAGCGGGACCGAAACAUGUUUGAUGCGGGAAUUCAGUGAGAUGAUGUGUGUAAGAAGCGAACCCUGUCUCUCUGGUGCGUAGCUGGUGUUCUCAACGUGUGUCGUUUUAGAACAGCUGUGUUGUUGUGGCAUUGCUUUUUCUUCUGCCUGUGUGGAUGAACAUGAGGAAGGUAAUGUCAGCUUGAGUAGAGGGGCUUAUUGGUUGCCUGGGGGCUGCCAUAAUAACCUAUCAUAAACUGGGGAGCUUGAACAACAGAACUUUAUUUUCUCACAGUUCUGGAAACUGGAAGGUCAAGAUCAGGGUGCCACAUGGUCAGGUUCUGGGUGAGAGCCCUCUUCCCAGCUUGCGCAUGGUCACCUCUCAUUGUGUCCUCAUGUGUCGGGGGAAGGCAGAGGAGGGGAGAGGGGGCAGAAGUGGGAGGGAGGUGAAGAGAGGGAGAGAGGAACAGAGAGAACAUAAGCAUGUGUGAGCAACAUUGACUGAUUGGUUGAUAGAUCUUCUUUUUAUAAGGCUAUGGUGCUGUUGGAUGGGGGACCCAUCCUUCUGUCCUCAUUUAACCUAGUUACCUCCUAAAGACCCUAUCUCCAGAUAUAGUCACAUUUGGUAUGAGAGCUUUAUAUGAAUACAUAAACCUAUGAGUUUGGGGGCACAUAAUUCAGUUCCUAGAUGGGUGUAUUCUCCCUAUAUUUCUGGUGACUUAACUGAGUUUUCUGGGAUUUAUACUUAAAUGUUUCUAAGGUUGUACUAAACACCUACUUCCUGAUGAGAGUAAAAUACCUGAAUGAAAGAAAUGUGGGAGGAAAAGAGAUCCUCCUGUUCAUUCUGGGGAGGCUGGGCCCCUAAGUUUGGGGGUCUCCCUAGGCACUACACAGGUCUUUUUGUUCUUAUGGUGAUGGUGAAGGGAGGGAUCUGGGGCAAAGAGGAGGCACAAGAACAGUCAGUGGAGGAUGGAAGACAGAGGGAGUCCUAGGGUUGCAGAUGCAAAUAGGAGCCAAGAGUCAGUGGUGCAGCCUCCCCAAGUGGGCAGCAGUGGGGCAGGGGUGUCUUCCUAUAGGGCCCAAAUCGAGCAAAGGAUGCCUGGUACAAAACUAAGCCUUUAAGUCCUUUCCUUUUGGUGACCUUGGACUCAACUCCUUUGAUCCUCCUCCAACUCCCUUGCUGAAUCUGGAAGUCAAGGCCUUUGUCGAGAUCCUGGAAUUUGUCAUUGGAGUUAGUCCCCUUUGGCCCCAUAGUAAAAUGGAGAAAAUUAGGGAGUGAAAUCUGGGGGCUUGUUACACAUGUCCAAAGAAUAUUAUCUCAUCAUUGAGGGGCUUUGAAAAUCCAAGGUUGAGGUAUUAGAUCUCUGAAUAAUUAGAAAAUAACCAAGAGCUGUAUGACACCAAGCCACAGCUUCCCCCUCACUCCCCCCCAAAUCUGUUUCAGUUCAGUAUAAUUUUUUUUUUUAAAGACUUCUGUACUCAUUCUAAUUUUUAGUCAUCGGAUGUUUUGGAAAAGAUUAAAUUACAAAUUAUUUUUUCUUCUUUGUGUUCAGAAAAGACUCAAUCCCAAUUUGUGACUUGUGCACUUUGAGAUUACAGAGGCCUAACUGAAGCCCAUGAAUCACAUUUGCUUAGGUGAAAAUGAGUAGAAUAAGUGAAACAGAGGAAGGAAUGAAAAGCUGCGCCUUCUUUGCUUCCCCUCCCCUCCUCUUUUCCACAUUAGAUGACUAAAUGUGCAACUUUGUUCACAUAACUGCUACAAACAGUUCACUGUGUAGGCCAAACGCUCUCUAAUGCAGUAAAAUUAAGAAAUAAUAUGCUUUGAAAGUGAUUUAUGAGUGUGGUUAAACUGCCAGAUUUACAAAGAAAUAGUUCAGAUCUUGGGAAGCCUCAGGAGUCACGUCAAAAAUGAAUUUGACCAUGAUUUAAACUGCUACUUUUCUUACAUGACAUUUAAUAUGUGUACUUUGGAGGCCCAUAUGUCUUUAAUAAAAUAGCAUUAAGUUUUAAAUAUGAUAUGAAUGCAGCCAGUUUCUAAAUUCAUAACCUUUUCCACAACUCCAAAAUGCUAACCAAUAAGGGAGUCAUACAUGCAAUAAAACCUAAACCUUAGAAAAUAGCUUUUUAUUAAAAUGGUUAGACAGUUGGCAGCUGGGUUUGCAAUGUAAUAAAUACUUACAGCAUUGUGGGUUUAUCAGACGUUGUUUACCCUCUAAGCAACUGGGACCAGACAACUAAUUACAACCCUUGCGCAAAAGCAGUUCAGGCAGAGUCCCCCUGAAUGUGUCAAAGAGGCGGAAGAGUUUUGUUGAGAGUGCUGGUUCGAUCCUCAGAGAGCUGGGUUCAGAUCUCUCUCCACCACUUAAAGGGAUGUGACUUUGGCCAGGCUGCUCUGUUUGAAUAAUUUUCGAAGUCUGUGUCAUAGAGACAGUAUCACCUGCCAUGCAGGUUUGUCAUGAUGAUGAGAAGCAAAUGAGCCAAGCCAUCUGACCCGGGGCCUGGCACAUAGUAGGUCCUCAGUAAAACAAGCAAUUCUUUUGAAAACAUUCUUUAACAAAAAAGUAGUUUAGGAGUUCCCUGGUGGCACAACAGCUUAAGGAUCCAGCAUUAUCACUGCAAUGUCUUAGGUCUGAUCCCUGGCCCUAGAACUUCUGGCUGCCAUGGGCACAAGAAAAAAAAAAUUAGGCCAGAUCAUCUGGACCCUGUAGCAGUGAUGUUCUGUUACAACUCUAGGAGGGCACUUAGAAAAGGUACACCGCUUAGCCAGGGCUCAGCGUGAGCCUCACAGAGAAUGAAUAGGCAGCUCCUUGCCUCACCACCCUGGGAAAAGUAAGAGCACGUCAGAACCAACAGGAAGACGUAUCUGGGUUGCGGGAGCAGGAGCUAUGUUAAUGCCACUGUCGCUUAGCUGUUCCUGGAAAUGAGGAGUGCAGGGCAGCCUCUUCCUGCCUUCUAGGCUUCCAGUUCAUAGAAAAUGAGAGUUCCUCUUGUAAGCUGUAUUACAUCACAGCAAAAGGUCUUCCAGUGCUGUUGCUGCUUUGGCGGUGUGUGUGUGAGAACAGAUCUCUCUGUGGCAUAGUUGGGAAGUACAGCUUCCCCUUCUCCAUGUUUCCAGUUGCUUAUAUACAACUUUUCUGUCUCUCAGAGGAAAUAGCCAGUCUGGCAGUGGUUUGAUCGUGUUUGUCCAUACAACUCAACGGUCUACCCUCCACAAACUUCCUAAGGAAUUUAGGAUUUCUGAAUUUCCUAAAAAGUGAAUUGUAGGUUAUGUUUGAGUUUGGCCUUUGGAUCUCAGAACUCACACUUAGGUGUGGUAAUGGGAGAUUAAAAGGCCCUGGGACUAUUUUAUUUUGAUAUUUUUUUGAAAAAUAAUGUUAUACUCCCAUUAAGGGGAAUUAACAAAGAACAUCUUUCAGCUGUAUUCUCAACAUGCUAACUCUUUGUCUUUUCAUUUUGCUCUUUUCCCUUCCAAACCUAAUCCUGUUCUAUAGGUAUUUUAUGUGUUUUAUGCUCUAUUUUUUUACCUAACAUUUUUGUUGCGCUACUUUGUUGUCUUCAAAUUUAUUAUUUUUGUGGAAUCUAUAGUUCUUCAUCAAAUUGAUAUAAGCACCAUCAGUUACCAAACCAUUUUCCCACUUUUGCUAGAUUUUAACCUUAUAUAUAAAAUACUGCUAGUUUUGUGUGUGUGUGUGUGUGUGAAUGUGUACUUCGUUUAAAUUAUCCUUAGGGCAGUUUUACAGGGAUGGUUUUAUUGGAUCACAGGCUAUGGUCAGAAGAACAGUUUCAGGCGCUAUAUAAGAAUGCCUAGGUACCAUUUUCAAGUUGGCAGGCAGUCCAUCCCAAAUGAGUCGUCGUACGUACAAGGCUGGAGGCAGAAUGUAGGUCAAAAAGGACACUUAACCUUUCCAAGACUGUCUUUGGGAAUGGACUUCCUGAAGUCUUACUGGUUCAUGUAUUGGAAUCUGUAGGAGCUCCCACAAAGCAUGCGUUGACCUGCUAAGUUGAAGUCCCAGGGAAUUACGGGUUCCCUAGAGCAUCCUGAAAAUUAUUAACAGCAUGCACUCCCGAACAGUGUGAAUGUGCCUUUACACUGUUAGCCAAAUCUUUGCAUAAUACCAAUCAUUCCACCUAUAAAAGCACAAAUAUGUUAUUGUUCUCGAUAGGCAAUUUAAUACAGCUUUGGGGAGGCAAAAAGAGAAAAGAAGAUUACAAGCUGGCUGAUCUUGCUUUUAUUUCUCUUAAAUCUAUCCACACUUCUCAGGGGUUGUACUUGUUUAAAGAUUGUCUGCAACUGUGCAGCCUGUGUGAUUUGGAAAGCAAAUCAAACUAAAUAUGAAGUUUUCAGCAUGUGUUGUUUUUAAACGAUUUCAUACAUUUAUUUCAAAUAUACAUUUCUUCCCAAGUAGUGCUAAACCUAUAAUCAUUUUCUUGUUAUAUUUCUUUUUGGGGGGAUGGAGGCCAAGAGGGUGACUUAGUUUUGGAGUGGAAGGUUCCUAUUAACAUCUACCUCCUUCUUGUGCGGCAUUAUUCACAGCAGUGCUAUUAAGGCUAAUUAUUUUCAGGUUUCUAUCAAAGGGGAAUAUUUGAGCUGACAAAAAAAAAGAAGCAUUUAUUGGGAAGAAAAAUGGCCUGUUUAAAUAAGAAAGGGAUCAUUAUCCCGUGCACCCUACCUCCCCCUCCCAGCUAUUAGCCUAUGUAGGGAGGAGGGGCCGGGAGACCCUCUGGGAGUCUGUGAGAGGAGGUUCUAGGGGCUGCUUGCUCAGAGAUGCUUGGUUCCCCAAGAAGAGGCAGUGCUUUCCCCCUCAUUUUUUUUUUUUUUUUGGCAGCCCAUCUGGGUUGCUCAUUGACCUUGGCCCUGAUGUCAGUGUUAUUUUCCUUCUCAUCUUGGGUAUGUAAAAUUCACUGACCCUUGGUAUGUAAUGGAAAGAAUAUUGGCUGGGGAGCUGGGUGGAUUAGUCAGGAAAGACCAACUACUGUAACAAAUAGACACCAUGUCUUGUGACUUCAUCAUUUUCAGUCCACUGAAGGUUUCUGGGUGGACAGUGAGGAGCACCUUGUCCAUCAGGGACCUUGGUUCCUUCUGUCCAAUGGCCCUGUGGUUUUCUUGGGGCUUGGAGAGAGACUAAUUUUGGAAGCAUUUUCACACACAAUCUCAUUUGAGCCUCACAGUGCUGAUGAGAGUGAUGAACUCUAGGCCACACUUUGUUUGACAAAUAUGGGAUAGUAAGAGAAAGAGUUUGUGAGUUCCCAUCAUGGCUCAGUGGUUAACGAAUCUGACUAGGAACCAUGGGGUUGUGGGUUAGAUCCCUGGCAUCACUCAGUGGGUUAAGGAUCCAGCAUUGCCAUGAGCUGUGGCACAGGUCGUAGAUGUGGCUCGGAUACCGCGUUGCUGUGACAGUGGUGUAUGCCGGCAGCAACAGCUCCGAUUGGACCCCUAGCCUGGGAACGUCCACAUGCCACAGGUGAGGUCCUAAAAAGACAAAAAGACCAAAAAAAAAAAAAAAGAAUGAAAGAGCUUGUGGGAUUCCCUGAGUAUUCCAGAGAGAAAUGAAGGUCAGAUUAGAACUCAAACCUCCUCUUGGCCCAGUACUUUGCAAUUGUAUAAUAUACAGGCUGUUUUGAGAAUUUCUGGACUUAAGAGGACAGGGUCCAGGCAAGGAGAGCCUGAGUAACCAGGACACCCUGUCUCCUCAGUGGGCACAAAAUGGCAAUGGCAGAUCUUCCAAAGGGGGGCACCAUGGAACUCAGGCCAGUCCACACCUCCCCAAGGGGGUCUAUCAUUUUUCCAAGGGCCAGUCAGAGCAGCUUUCUGAUGUGUUGUCCAAAAAAAGUGUCUAUGCUCAAGAAUAGAGUGGUUGGGUUGGCUUCCACGUGGUCCCAGAUCUGCCUAAUCAGGACUAUAUUGACUUAGUUUAGGACCACAUUUUCCUCUUUUUUGGGGGGGAGGGGGGACUCCACCUCCUCUCCACCUCCUCCACAUUUGUGGGAGGCAGGGACGUGAUCUUGCCGUCACAUUUGCUCUUGUAUGUUCAGCCUACAAUAGCUCCCAACUCCAAACCACCAGCGUUUGCUUUUGUAAACUGCAGAAGAAGGGCCUAGGGUGACAUUCCUGCCCAAAUCAUAGGCUGAGCAAGAAGCAGCAAGGCCAGAGAGGCAGAGUGGGGUUGAGAUGAGCUUGUCCCGGUUCCACCUACAAUGCUUCAGCUUUAAAGCCAGGCUACUCUGCUUGUACCUAGAACUUGCAAUGACUAGAGGCUGUUUUAAGAGAAAAAUUAUACUUCUCUUUUAUUCAAAACAAACUCUCUAGCAGGGUGAAAUUUUGAGAUGUACCACAGGCAGCUGGAGAGCUUCAAGUCCUAGGAAAAUGACAGUGUAUUCACGCUUUCUGUUCUUUUUCUCCUGUAGGGCAGGUCAUAUGUCUUUGUCAUGGCUAAUGGCAAUUUAUGCUAUCCAUGACCACUGGGAAGGGAAAAUAUUCAUAUUUUAAAAAUGCACAAAGACAGAGCUCUCCUGAUUGGGGACAUGGUCAGGCUAGAAGGGAGGGAGUUGAGUUUCCAAGGUCAUGGUUUCUCAGUCUUUACUAAGAGGUCACCAUUUAUUUAUGAUCUUAUUGUUUGAGUUUCAAGAUUAUGAAGAAUUCUUCUGGUGUCUUUUGAAAAAGAGAGUUUGGAGAGAUGACGGCCAAAGAAGCUGAUGGAGAUCCUGGACUUUUAUGAAAAUAGGGUACUUUUUAGUUUUGCCAAGCAGGGUUGGCAUCCUCACCCAGAGGUUUAGAUAGAAAAAGAUGGGCAGAAUUUUCAGGCCAGGUAUGAAAAUUAAAUCUCCCAAACCUAAGAUUGGUAUUAUCAAGCUAUAAAAGAAGAUGUUUUAGGUUGUUUCUCAGGACAUAAACUCUGGUAUUCUUGGCCCAGGUGUAUAGAACUUACACUCUCACCUCUACCUCCACUCUAAUAAUGGGAGUGGAGCACCAGGAACUCCCAUCUCUUGGGAAUCUUUUAGGGGCUGCUCAUUCAUUGGAAGUAGGAGAACCAGCAGUAAGUGAUGGAGACAUUUGUUAAGGAUGUGAGAGAGUUAAUACUUAGGAGUCUCUCCCUUUCUUCUCCUUACGUCAAACAGCCAAAAAGGGACCUUAGGUUCAGCUUGUUGGAGGAAUUUCUUUGUCACCUAUUUCUCAGAGUUGGUACCCAUUUGCCUAUAUGACUCAGUUUUUCAGUUAUUUCUCUAUCCAUGCCUCCAUCCAUGCAUUCAUUGUCCACCCAUCCAUCCACCCACUCACCCAUCCAUGUAUGCACGCACCCAUCCCAUCCAUCCAUCCCUCCCUGCCUCCCUCUCUCUCACAUUUACUAAGUGUAUUAGGCUCCUUGAUAUAAUAAAAUCAAUUGAAACAGAGUCUGAGCCUUCUAGGGAAGGUAGACUUGAGCUUUUCUUUUAUUUUGCUGCAUUGAUCUCUUCUACCUUCUACACAUUUUUCCCCCUCUGGAUGACUGAUGAAGUAUAUGGAUGCUAUAGAUUGAAUGAUUUAAAUAACUUGAACUAUACCUUAUGCUCUUAUUUCCUCUUUGUUAAUCACAUUCUUACUAUUAGAGUCAGAGGAAAAGAAUUUUUCAAAGGGAGUUUUAGAUUUUUUUUUUUUUUUUGAGAUUUGGCUCUGGGAGGAAGAGUCAGAGAGAGAUCGAGUUGUGAUUAUGUGCAUUUCUGUGUAAAUGGGGAUGAUGCCUGUCCCUGCCUCUCCCUGGGCUGCCCAUGUGGAUUCUGCAGGGGAAGAACACAGCCCAGAUCUCUUCAGGUGUACAGGGUUCUUGUGUGAGGAGCCAUACAUGGCUUUCAACAGUAAAGUCUCCAAUGAAUUAGGGUGGUUUGGAAAAGUGAUGGGGCUUCAAUUAGAUGGACACCAUAGGGAAUAAUAUUCAAUAGGAGAAAAAGUCUUGAUGUCAAAAUAUGUAAAUCAAAGGGAAGGGCAUGAGAACUAUGGGAAGGAAAUAAGAAAACAAGCAAAGGAAAUUAGAAUAUUUUCUCCCAGAGAUUAUUGUACACAGAGAUCAGGCUGCAUCUCAAAUCUAGAAUCAUCUGGUAAUAAUGGAGAGGACACUCGUAAAAAGUGCUAUGGUUAGGUCAUCAUGUUGCAGUUUUUAUAGUGGUGGGAUAAGGAAAAGAACCUGACUUCAUCCUGCUGAUCUAUUUCGGUUGGGCUAUUACCUAGUAGGACUUUUGUGAACUUCAUUGCACAGAACCAUCUGUCUAGGGUGCCUGUGGUUGUUUGAUGCCAGCCAUGAGUUUUGCAUUGUGAUUUCUGACCUCACUUCUCACUGUUCUUCAGUGUGAUUUUCAUUUCAUGUCACUCAGUUGAUGUCUCAAGUUUUUUUUUUCCUUCCUCUUCCUUUCUGUCUAUCAAAAGAGGUAUUUGAUUAUUAUUGCUGACCUAAUAUCUUCACUUUACUCAUGCUCCCUCUGGAAAACCUUUUUUUUCUCUCCCUCUCAUUAAUUCCUCACAUCCUCCAUGAUCCAACUCAGACCUUGCUCUUUAGGAAACCUUUUAAUGGAAUUAGGGCCUUAGUAACUCCCCUACCUAAGAUCUACCCUUUAACUAGUCACUUACAAACCAUAUUAUAUUUUCUAAUAUUUGCAUGUAUCCAUCUUGCUUUCUCAGCUAGGAGGGUGGAAAACGUAUCUAAUAUAUUUUCUGUGUAUUAAAUGUAUCUAAUAUAUUAUAUCUCAUGGGGCCAAACAUGGGGAUGACCCCAAACUAUCCUUGGUAUUUAUCACCUCCUGCUACAUUUAGCAGAUCACCUUCUUUGUCAUGACCAGUCACCAGAGAAGACCCAGCAUGCACCAGCACUCAGUUCUCCUAUCACAUGGUACUCUGCACCUAUGUUUAUGAGACCCUGACUAGCCUUGGGCCAGAGGGAAAUUCUAUAAUUUAUUUGGUUGCGUGCUAGAGGUCAUACCACAAGGCCACUGUCCACAUAUCAGCUUUGUCUCAGGAGCUGACUCGUGCUUUUCAUAUAAAUCAUAGUGAGUUGUCCAUUAUAAACACCUUGUAAAACUCAAAGGCUUUAUGGCUGUUAUUAGCUACUGCAUUAUGAUUUACUAGCUAAUUUAGGCUGAUGUGUGGAUGAGUGUAUCCAGGGCACCAUGUGUCCCAUCUCCAUACAGCAGAGAGUAGAAGAGACUAUGCCCUCAGAAACAAAUGCCUCUUCUAAAAGUCGGAGUGUGCUUAUGUUUUAUUUUUUAUUAUUUUUAUUAAACAUUUUUAUUGACAGAUAGUUGAUUUCUAAUAUAUUAUAGAGUUUCAGAGCUAUAACUUAGUGGUUAAAUACCUUUUAAAAGUUACUACAGGAAAAUAGCUCUAAUUCCCUGUGCUACAGAAUAUGUCCUUGUUGCUUACCUAUUUUAUACAUGGUAGUUUGUAUCUCUUAAUCCCACACCCCUAACUUGUUUCUACGCUAUUCCUGCUCCUCUUUGGUAACCACAAUUUGGUUUUCUAUAUUUCUGAAUAUGUUUCUGCUUUGCUAUAUAAGUUAAUUUUUUUUUUAGAUUCUACAUUAAGUGAUAUCAUAUGGUAUUUGUCUUUGUCUGUCUGAUUUAUUUCACUAAGCAUAAUAUUCUGUAGGCCAUACAUG